AUAUCAAUAAGCGGAGGAGAAGAAACUAACAAGGAUUCCCCUAGUAACGGCGAGCGAACCGGGAAAAGCCCAACUUGAAAAUCUCUUCGGAGAAUUGUAGUCUAUAGAAGCGCCCUCUGUAGCGACUAGGUCCCAAGUGCCCUGGAAAGGGCCGUCAAAGAGGGUGAGAACCCCGUCGGACCUACGCCUGCUGCUCCACGAGACGCUUUCAACGAGUCGGGUUGUUUGAGAAUGCAGCCCAAACUGGGUGGUAAAUCCCAUCUAAGGCUAAAUAUUGGCGAGAGACCGAUAGCGCACAAGUA
rnacentral:rRNA from 1 species